GACGAACGCUGGCGGCGUGCUUAACACAUGCAAGUCGAACGGAAAGGCCCUGCUUUUGUGGGGUGCUCGAGUGGCGAACGGGUGAGUAACACGUGAGUAACCUGCCCUUGACUUUGGGAUAACUUCAGGAAACUGGGGCGAAUACCGGAUAGGAGCUCCUGCUGCAUGGUGGGGGUUAGAAAGUUUCGGCGGUUGGGGAUGGACUCGCGGCUUAUCAGCUUGUUGGUGGGGUAGUGGCUUACCAAGGCUUUGACGGGUAGCCGGCCUGAGAGGGUGACCGGCCACAAGGGUACUGAGAUACGGCCCAGACUCCUACGGGAGGCAGCAGUGGGGAAUCUUGCACAAUGGGCGGAAGCCUGAUGCAGCAACGCCGCGUGCGGGAUGACGGCCUUCGGGUUGUAAACAGCUUUCGCCGGUGACGAAGCGUGGGUGACGGUAAUGGGUAAAGAAGCACCGGCUAACUACGUG
rnacentral:rRNA from 1 species